UACGUAGGGUGCAAGCGUUGUCCGGAAUUAUUUGGGCGUAAAGAGCUCGUAGGCGGUUUGUUGCGUCGGCUGUGAAAUCCCGAGGCUCAACCUCAGGUCUGCAGUCGAUACGAGCAAACUAGAGUGUUGCAGGGGAGACUGGAAUUCCUGGUGUAGCGGUGAAAUGACGCAGAUAUCAGGAGGAACACCGGUGGCGAAGGCGGGUCUCUGGGCAACAACUGACGCUGAGGAGCGAAAGCGUGGGGAGCGAACAGG
rnacentral:rRNA from 1 species